rnacentral:rRNA from 1 species
GUCUACGCGAAGAACCUUACCAAGGCUUGACAUGUAGGAAGUAGUGAACGGAAACGGGAACGACCUGUCAAGUCAGGAGCCUACACAGGUGUUGCAUGGCUGUCG